rnacentral:rRNA from 2 species
GUUGUGGCCUUGAGCCGUGGCUUUCGGAGCUAACGCGUUAAGUAGACCGCCUGGGGAGUACGGUCGCAAGAUUAAAACUCAAAUGAAUUGACGGGGGCCCGCACAAGCGGUGGAGCAUGUGGUUUAAUUCGAUGCAACGCGAAGAACCUUACCUACUCUUGACAUCCAGAGAACUUUCCAGAGAUGGAUUGGUGCCUUCGGGAACUCUGAGACAGGUGCUGCAUGGCUGUCGUCAGCUCGUGUUGUGAAAUGUUGGGUUAAGUCCCGCAACGAGCGCAACCCUUAUCCUUGUUUGCCAGCGAGUAAUGUCGGGAACUCCAGGGAGACUGCCGGUGAUAAACCGGAGGAAGGUGGGGACGACGUCAAGUCAUCAUGGCCCUUACGAGUAGGGCUACACACGUGCUACAAUGGCGCAUACAGAGGGCGGCCAACUUGCGAAAGUGAGCGAAUCCCAAAAAGUGCGUCGUAGUCCGGAUUGGAGUCUGCAACUCGACUCCAUGAAGUCGGAAUCGCUAGUAAUCGUGGAUCAGAAUGCCACGGUGAAUACGUUCCCGGGCCUUGUACACACCGCCCGUCACACCAUGGGAGUGGGCUGCAAAAGAAGUAGGUAGUUUAACCUUCGGGGGGACGCUUACCACUUUGUGGUUCAUGACUGGGGUGAAGUCGUAACAAGGUAACCA